rnacentral:rRNA from 1 species
GACGUAGGGCGCGAGCGUUGUCCGGAUUUAUUGGGCGUAAAGAGCUCGUAGGCGGCUUGUUGCGUCGACCGUGAAAACCCGUGGCUCAACUGCGGGCUUGCGGUCGAUACGGGCAGGCUAGAGUUCGGUAGGGGAGACUGGAAUUCCUGGUGUAGCGGUGAAAUGCGCAGAUAUCAGGAGGAACACCCGGGUGGCGAAGGCGGGGUC